AACGAACGCUGGCGGCAGGCCUAACACAUGCAAGUCGAGCGCACCCUUCGGGGUGAGCGGCGGACGGGUGAGUAACGCGUGGGAACGUGCCCUUCUCUGCGGAAUAGCCUCGGGAAACUGAGAGUAAUACCGCAUACGCCCUUUGGGGGAAAGAUUUAUCGGAGAAGGAUCGGCCCGCGUUGGAUUAGGUAGUUGGUGGGGUAAUGGCCCACCAAGCCGACGAUCCAUAGCUGGUUUGAGAGGAUGAUCAGCCACACUGGGACUGAGACACGGCCCAGACUCCUACGGGAGGCAGCAGUGGGGAAUCUUAGACAAUGGGGGCAACCCUGAUCUAGCCAUGCCGCGUGAGUGAUGAAGGCCUUAGGGUUGUAAAGCUCUUUCAGCUGGGAAGAUAAUGGCGGUACCAGCAGAAGAAGCCCCGGCUAACUCCGU
rnacentral:rRNA from 1 species